rnacentral:ncRNA from 1 species
GUUUGGUUUGAUUAUGGCCUUUGAUUUAUAAAGUAAAGCGAACUUCAUGAUAUUAAAAGAACAGUGAAUUGAAAGUUAUUUCACUAUCAACUCGACUUCAGUGGAAAAGUUUAAACAACCUAAAAUGUUAGAGUUUAGCUCUUUAUUUUGAUGGGGGCUAAUUGGUGAAUGCCAGCAGCCGCGGUUAGAUUCAGUUCCUAAAUAAAUCGUUACAGAUAGACUAGAGUCAAAAAAAAAUAUUGACAUCAUAGAUGACAGAUGAAUGUGGUGAAAUACGGUCUUGAUUUUUAAUUCUUUUUUAUGUUAAGAGUGUUUCUAGUGUAACCGUGAAGAGAAACUAGGAUUUGAUACCCUACUAUCCACGGCGUUAAAUAGGUGUUCUGCUUCACUACACAUUAGUUUGUCAAAGGGAAAUAAAUAGGCGGUAUCAGGGUUAAAAAGUAGGGGAUCCUGGGUGUUAAAGGACGGUCCGCCUACAUUUGCACUCUACCUUAUUAGUGCGUGUGUAUGGUUGUUUACUCUAAUAUGUUUAGUGUCAGGGUAAAAUUUUUGUAAUUACGGUAACAGAGCAUAAUUCAGAUUGACAUGCAGCUAUGGUGGAGUUAGCCUGGGAUACAAUUGAAACAUAACAUUAAACUAAUGUUUAAUUUAUCGAACAUUUUAUGGAAACGUAAAGUAGAAGACGGACUUGUAAGUAAGUAAAUAAAAUAACUAUUUACUGAAUAAUAUCUGGUGAGUACUAAUUGCCCGUCGCUCGCGGGGAAACCUGUGAUAAGUCGUAACAAGGUAGCCGUAACGGAAGUUGCUGCUAAAUUAAG